rnacentral:rRNA from 1 species
UACGUAGGGUGCAGGCGUUAAUCGGAAUUACUGGGCGUAAAGCGUGCGCAGGCGGUUUCUUAAGUCAGAUGUGAAAGCCCCGGGCUUAACCUGGGAACUGCGUUUGAAACUGGGAGACUUGAGUGUGACAGAGGGGGGUGGAAUUCCACGUGUAGCAGUGAAAUGCGUAGAUAUGUGGAGGAACACCAAUGGCGAAGGCAGCCCCCUGGGUCAACACUGACGCACAUGCACGAAAGCGUGGGGAGCAAACAGG